AUCACCUGGCCAUCUGGUUAAAAUGCAGAUUCUGGUUCAGUAGCUCGGGUGGGGCCUGAGAUUCUGCAUUUUUAAUUAGUUCUCUGGUGGUGCUGA
rnacentral:pre_miRNA from 1 species